CCUAUAAACAGGCAAUUUGUGUACAAGGAGACAGAAAUCCUAGUAAGAGGAAAUUGUCAAAAAGAGAAAGCUAUGCAGAAAAGUCUUAUUGAUUUUAAGUCUACUACUGUCAUUAUGUCUUCAAGCAUCUCAUCCCUGCUGUCGGAUAGAAGUGAUUGGCUUGGUCAAUCCCUUGAACUUGGAUAAAGUUGACUAAGAACGGGACAUAGUCAUACGCUUUAAUCCCUAAUUUUUGCAUGGACCGCCUUUUCAGGUUUUCAGUCCACCAGGAUACCCUUUUUUGCCCAAGUCGCCUUUUCAGGUUUUCGACUUGCCGGGUGUACAUUUUUUAUAUAUCCCUAAUUUUUGCCCGAACCC
rnacentral:lncRNA from 1 species